rnacentral:misc_RNA from 1 species
CGUGCCGUCCACCGAACGGUCGGCAGGCGAUCCGCGUCGGUCGCGCUGGGUGGUAUGGUUCCCCAGAGGCCGGUUCUUGUGCUGCCUACCCCUUCAGGGGAAGAGUUCCAAACUCGAUGUAAGCCUCCAUCCGGCGCCCUCCAAAGGGCGCGGGAGGACAACGGAGCACCCCCCGCGUUCCACCGAGCCUCCUCGGUCGCGUGGCCCGCGGGGACGUGCGAUGCUCUCGGACCCAGCGAACGCCGUGGGCGAGGACUCACGUCCCGGUCCCAAGUGAAGCAACGGUAUAACGCGGACGGCCGCUCCCGCCCCCCGACCGCCCCGGCGGCGCGGGGGCGAAGGCGCGGCGUCGCUGAGGAAUGCUACCU